rnacentral:rRNA from 1 species
GGGGGAUGACGUCAAGUCCUCAUGGCCCUUAUGGGUAGGGCUUCACACGUCAUACAAUGGUCGGUACAGAGGGUUGCCAAGCCGCGAGGUGGAGCUAAUCCCUUAAAGCCGAUCGUAGUCCGGAUCGUAGUCUGCAACUCGACUACGUGAAGUCGGAAUCGCUAGUAAUCGCAGAUCAGCAUGCUGCGGUGAAUACGUUCCCGGGUCUUGUACACACCGCCCGUCACACCAUGGGAGUGGGUUUCACCAGAAGUAGGUAGCUUAAC